AGUGAACGCUGGCGGUAGGCCUAACACAUGCAAGUCGAACGGCAGCACAGUAAGAGCUUGCUCUUACGGGUGGCGAGUGGCGGACGGGUGAGGAAUACAUCGGAAUCUACUUUUUCGUGGGGGAUAACGUAGGGAAACUUACGCUAAUACCGCAUACGACCUACGGGUGAAAGCAGGGGAUCUUCGGACCUUGCGCGAUUGAAUGAGCCGAUGUCGGAUUAGCUAGUUGGCGGGGUAAAGGCCCACCAAGGCGACGAUCCGUAGCUGGUCGGAGAGGAUGAUCAGCCACACUGGAACUGAGACACGGUCCAGACUCCUACGGGAGGCAGCAGUGGGGAAUAUUGGACAAUGGGCGCAAGCCUGAUCCAGCCAUACCGCGUGGGUGAAGAAGGCCUUCGGGUUGUAAAGCCCUUUUGUUGGGAAAGAAAAGCAGCAGGUUAAUACCCCGCCGUUCUGACGGUACCCAAAGAAGAAGCACCGGCUAACUUCGUG
rnacentral:rRNA from 1 species